rnacentral:rRNA from 1 species
UACGUAGGGCGCAAGCGUUGUCCGGAAUUAUUGGGCGUAAAGAGCUCGUAGGCGGCUUGUCGCGUCGAUUGUGAAAGCCCGGGGCUUAACUCCGGGUCUGCAGUCGAUACGGGCAGGCUAGAGUGUGGUAGGGGAGAUCGGGAUUCCUGGUGUAGCGGUGAAAUGCGCAGAUAUCAGGAGGAACACCGGUGGCGAAGGCGGAUCUCUGGGCCAUUACUGACGCUGAGGAGCGAAAGCGUGGGGAGCGAACAGG